rnacentral:lncRNA from 1 species
GGAAAUAAUUCAUUAGAGAAGAACAUAAAGAAGAAGAAGAAAAAGAUAUGGUUUGAUCGAUCUACUUCGUCUUCUUCUUCUUUUUCCUCUUCCUUUUCUUCUUCUUGUGCAUGUAAGUACGAACUACGAAGUCUCAACAUCUAUUGUGAAUGGGAUCCGAACCUCUUCGCACCCGUCUCUUGCUGCUCCCGUUCAGAUCAAAAGCCACCUGCACCGGAGCCGAUGAGGAUGAUGGGAUAUUACUACGGGUGACUUCGACGGCAUCCAUUUCCUGAACAUCACGUACCAUCACUCUGAUGGCUUUAACCUUUUCACUGCAUUGAAUUGCCAAGAGUGCUGCAAUGCCGAUGUAGAGAAUAAGAAGCUGAAAUCUUGAAGAAC